rfam:Cavia porcellus supercont2_698 genomic scaffold, whole genome shotgun sequence.
GGGGAUUUAGCUCAGCGGCAUAAGCGCCUGCUUUGUAAGCAGGCAAUCGCCAGUUCGAUCCCUGGUACCA